rnacentral:misc_RNA from 1 species
GCACUAUCCAUGAGGAUCAUUUCGUAUGAUGUGAGGAGGACAUCAAAUUUUAUUCUAUCUUGCUUGCUUUCACCAACAAUUUGACCAGAUUUCUUUUUCUUGGUCUUCUUAAGAUUUUUGGGGAAAAAAAGUUCAUAUUCUCUAAUAACAGCACGAGCUUGUGCGCCUCCCACAUACAUAACCACAUUCAUUUGAGGAGCCCAAGUGGCAAACUCACGCUCCCAAUUUCUCAAUGUCGAAAGAGGUGCUAUUACUAAAUGUGGAGAGACCUUCUCU